AGUAAUACAUAAGUAACCUGCCCUACACAGGGGGAGUAACUAUUGGAAACGAAUAGCUAAGACCGCAUAGGUACGGACACUGCAUGGUGACCGUAUUAAAAGUAGCCUCAAAGACACUGGUAGAGGAUGGACUUAUGGCGCAUUAGCUGGUUGGCGGGGUAACGGCCCACCAAGGCGACGAUGCGUAGCCGACCUGAGAGGGUGACCGGCCACACUGGGACUGAGACACGGCCCAG
rnacentral:rRNA from 1 species